AACGAACGCUGGCGGCAUGCCUAACACAUGCAAGUCGAACGAGACCUUCGGGUCUAGUGGCGCGCGGGUGCGUAACGCGUGGGAACCUGCCCUUAGGUUCGGAAUAACUCCCCGAAAGGGGUGCUAAUACCGGAUAAUGUCUUCGGACCAAAGAUUUAUCGCCUUUGGAUGGGCCCGCGUUGGAUUAGCUAGUUGGUAGGGUAAAAGCCUACCAAGGCGACGAUCCAUAGCUGGUCUGAGAGGAUGAUCAGCCACACUGGGACUGAGACACGGCCCAGACCCCUACGGGGGGCGGAAGUGGGGAAAUUUGGAAAAUGGGGGAAAGCCUAAACCAGCAAUGCCCGGGGGGGAAGAAAGGCCUUAGGGUUGAAAAGCCUUUUUCCCCGGGAGGGAAAUGGAGGUCCCGGGGAAAAAAGCCCCGGCAAACCCCGU
rnacentral:rRNA from 1 species